UGGGGAAUAUUGGACAAUGGGCGCAAGCCUGAUCCAGCCAUGCCGCGUGAGUGAUGAAGGCCCUCUGGGUUGUAAACUUCUUUUAUAUGGGACGAAAAAGGGUCUUUCUAGAUCAACUGACGGUACCAUGUGAAUAAGCACCGGCUAGCUCCGUGCCAGCAGCCGCGGUAAUACGUAGGGUGCAAGCGUUAAUCGGAAUUACUGGGCGUAAAGCGUGCGCAGGCGGUUAUGCAAGACAGAGGUGAAAUCCCCGGGCUCAACCUGGGAACUGCCUUUGUGACUGCAUAGCUAGAGUACGGUAGAGGGGGAUGGAAUUCCGCGUGUAGCAGUGAAAUGCGUAGAUAUGCGGAGGAACACCGAUGGCGAAGGCAAUCCCCUGGGCCUGCACUGACGCUCAUGCACGAAAGCGUGGGGAGCAAACA
rnacentral:rRNA from 1 species